CCUACGGGUGGCUGCAGUGAGGAAUAUUGGUCAAUGGGCGCGAGCCUGAACCAGCCAAGUCGCGUGAGGGAUGACGGUCCUAUGGAUUGUAAACCUCUUUUGUCGGGGAGCAAUAGACGCCACGCGUGGCCUUCCGAGCGGUCCCUAAGAAAAAGCAUCGGCCAACUCCGUGCCAGCAGCCGCGGUAAUACGGAGGAUGCGAGGGUUAUUCGGAUUUAUUGGGUUUUAAGGGGGCGCAGGCGGAAGAUCAAGUCAGCGGUAAAAUUGUGAGGCUCAACCUCUUCGUGCCGUUGAAACUGGUGUUCUUGAGUGGGCGAGAAGUAUGCGGAAUGCGUGGUGUAGCGGUGAAAUGCAUAGAUAUCACGCAGAACUCCGAUUGCGAAGGCAGCAUACCGGCGCUCAACUGACGCUGAUGCACGAAAGUGUGGGUAUCGAACAGGAUUAGAUACCCUUGUAGUC
rnacentral:rRNA from 1 species